rnacentral:rRNA from 1 species
UACAGAGGAGCCAAGCGUUGUCCGGAUUGACUGGGCGUAACGCGCACGCAGGCGGAUGCGCGCGUGGGGUGUGAAAUCUGGCCGCUUAACGGCCAGGCGCCAUCCCAUACGGCGCGUCUGGAGUGAUGCAGAGGUCGGUGGAAUUGCCGGUGUAGUGGUGAAAUGCGCAGAUAUCGGGAGGAACACCAAUGGCGAAGGCAGCUCGCUGGGACGGUACUGACGCUGAGACGCGAAAGCGUGGGGAGCAAACAGG